AAAUACGUUAUUCUACCUCUGGAAGCAACAUUUCAAGCAACAGGACAGGGGAUAGAGCCUGAAUGGACCUCACUUUCUCUGGAAACCCCUCCAGAAGCAGACUUUCCCAAGCAGAGCACAGUGGAGGAGCUGCAGUCCUCCAGCACUGGACCCCUCCAACCACCACAGCUUGAGAGAAGGGCACAGGUCCGCCACAGUUUGUUAGAGUGGAGCCCAGGCGCGGAGCGACUAAUGAGCAUGCUGGAGAGAGUGUCCAACCCAACGCCAGCUAGAGACAAUCCACCUGUCUGCUCUCAGACGCAGGCUGGUUGUGAUUUCACAGUGUUUGACUGGAGAAAACAAUCUGAAUUCAAACAAACAAGCAAACAGACAAAAACACCUUGAGAGAUCUGAAUCCAGGGUAUUUAAUCGUCUGGACUGGUACGAUUUGGAAUUUAGAUAUUUAGCUUUCGGCAAAGCUGGAGAGUGGAAGAUGGUCUGCAACUCACACUGACUUACAACAUUACUGUGGACCUGAUGUGAAAAGUUUGCUUUUUAAACCGUUGCUAUUUAACCUUCCUAAGCCUUUACAAAUUAGGCACAUUUUGAAACAAAAUUACUAUUUUCAAGUUAAAAGAUUAACUGAAUCACUCUGACAGUGUCAGUAUGAAGUCCUCCUGUUCAGGUUAAAAUACAUUUGCAGAACAUGAGUAACAUUUGUGAAUAAAUUUUGAUUCCUAUGCA
rnacentral:lncRNA from 1 species